AAAUCCGCCGUAUACAAAGAAUUUUCCUUGUAUACGAAGCGUAUCGGUAACUGAAAAUAUACAAUACUACAACCAGUAGUAUAGAGAUGUAAAGAAACCAAACAGGUAGAAUAAAACAAGUCUCACAUAUAUACAAAAAAACGCUAUACAAAGGUACUCGCUCCAGCGAGUUAUAACAACUGUAUGUACAUGAACUCAACAAAAUAAACCGAAACUACCUGCAGUGGUGGAUCCUCUAUCUCAGCAACUUGUCGGGUAGGGCUCUAACUCGCGACGCCCUUGCCUCGAUCAACCUCGGAAGGCGCAGCAACUGAAACCGGUGGCUCUGCAAAACAGUGGUAACAACUGGGUGUGAGAACUACUGUAAAAACAAGUAGUCCUCAGUGGGUACCGCCCUCAACAUCAUCGGCCUACCCACUAAGACUACAGUCAGAAAUAAACUAGUAGUUAAAGCUGGAAAGAAAUCUACAGCUACCUGCCACUACACUAUCCAACUGUAGUAACUGUCAAAUCUGACCCAAUCUCAAUAGGGACUGUGAACACACCCGUCCCGGGGACUGUGAACGCACCCGUCCCGCCUGUCUAAGCCACGCUACCUCCACGCAAAACAGUCCGUGGAUAGAAAAACUAGUCAGUGACAUCAACGCGAAAGCACAAAGCCAAACUCCGGAGCGGCAACUCGUGGGCGUGACCCAACCG
rnacentral:lncRNA from 1 species